UGGGGAAUAUUGGACAAUGGGCGCAAGCCUGAUCCAGCCAUGCCGCGUGUGUGAAGAAGGCCUUUUGGUUGUAAAGCACUUUAAGCGAGGAGGAGGCUACUUGGAUUAAUACUCUAGGAUAGUGGACGUUACUCGCAGAAUAAGCACCGGCUAACUCUGUGCCAGCAGCCGCGGUAAUACAGAGGGUGCGAGCGUUAAUCGGAUUUACUAGGCGUAAAGCGUGCGUAGGCGGCUUUUUAAGUCGGAUGUGAAAUCCCUGAGCUUAACUUAGGAAUUGCAUUCGAUACUGGGAAGCUAGAGUAUGGGAGAGGAUGGUAGAAUUCCAGGUGUAGCGGUGAAAUGCGUAGAGAUCUGGAGGAAUACCGAUGGCGAAGGCAGCCAUCUGGCCUAAUACUGACGCUGAGGUACGAAAGCAUGGGGAGCAAACAGG
rnacentral:rRNA from 1 species